rnacentral:tRNA from 1 species
GGAGAGGUGGCCGAGCGGUCGAAGGCGCACGAUUGGAAAUCGUGUAUACGGGAAACCGUAUCGAGGGUUCGAAUCCCU